rnacentral:rRNA from 1 species
AUGGCGCAGCCCAGCAAGGAGCCGUGCAAGAAGGAGGCGUGCGACAUCCAGGCCUGCCUCUCCAAGAACCUCUUCGAUUCCAAGAAGUGUUUGAAAGUUAUUCAGUCACUACAAUCUUGUUGUGAGCAAUGCGAGUACAAAUCAACACAUUGUGGUUCUUUGUCGGGCUUGCUCAAAAACAUUUCAAAGUGA